rnacentral:tmRNA from 1 species
GGGGUCGUAAAGGUUUCGACGGGGACACUCAGCGAGAAAGAAGCGAGCCGAAGCCCCUAUCUUCGUUAAAAUGGGGAAAAUAAUAACUGCGAAUAACGAUUACAGCUUUGCUGUAGCGGCCUAACGCCGCUCGUCGGCUUCCAAGCGCUCACGGCUUGGAAUGUCCGGCGUGAGAGAUGUGAGGAACGACACGCGCCAAAGCUUUGAGGUGCGGUUGACAAAAUGAAGCUACCGGACGUUUGACCCUGCCAAUGGGGGCUUACAGAAGGGAAAUCUAAAUCGUUGGCUGCGCUCGGAGACGCUUUCGCGUUCAGGUUUUCGGACAGGGGUUCAAUUCCCCUCGACUCCACCA